UAUUUUAUUUUACAUGAAUAAUAUACAACAACUGAGAUAAGGGAAUUAGAGGCUGCGAAAGCUUAGAAAUUAAAUUAGCUUACGGUUGUCCUUUCCAUGUGGCCAUUUUUAAUACAUGUAUGUAAAUAAUGUAUGAAAUGGUAAAUGUCCAAAGUAUAAAUCAUAUGCAGACCUUGUAAAACUACUGAAAAACCACUAUAACUCAAAGCCUCUCACCAUUUCUGAACAAUUCAAAUUUAAAAACAGAAUCAAAAAGAGAGGAAACGGUAUCAGAAUAUGUGAUUGAACUGAAACAUUUGUUAACUCACUGUGAUUUUGGACUGCUUUUAAAUGUGUCUAUAUAUAUGUAAUAUUUUUAACUUUAUUAUUAUAUCUGCUAUCUAUCAUAUCAGCUGUUCAAAAGAGCGGCUUUAUAUAUUAAUACUUGACAGAGAUUCACCAAAUCUCAUCAUGUAUCUUUGCAAUUGAAACUGGAAGAUUAUUAUUAAUUCUUUGAAAAUGUGUUUGUGUUGGCUGGUGAAAUGCCUGCAUGAUCUAUACAUAUACAUUAAGUGAAACAAGAUUUUUUCCCCCAAUAUUCCAUAUACAGCUGUAGCAUUCUUGGUCAUGCUUCAGUGGGCAUUUGUCACCAAUAGUGACAGCUCUUGUUUGUUUUAUUAUCUGUUGAUUUUGUGCAUACUUCAUUUAAUGGCAAAAAUAAUGACCAUAUACAUUUUACAGGGUUUGCACAGUCUCCAGCAAAAUAACUAACAGCAGGUUGAUGAACAAGCCCCAUUUACCAGUGCUGGACCAUCAACACAACUACAGGGAGUGUGCUAUCAACAAAAUGAGAAUACUUUUAAUGUACGACAGGCUGACCAACAGGCCCAAAUGGCCACUCCUGGAAACCCGAUUAAAGCACAGGGAGGGUACAGUCUCCACCAAAUUAACCAGCAGCACUCACCUGUUACUCAACAAUCCCAAAUGGUCAUUACUGGACAAUCAGUUCAAGCUUCAUCUUUAAUGCAAGUAGAGGUUCCUGGUGUUCGACGCUCACCCAGGAAAAAGCUCAGCCUACAGUUUCAGGCAUCCCCUUUAGACCGUACUGAAAGCCAUCAAGGAGACAUGGUGGAGCUAAUAAAAAACAACGCCACUCUAAUUGAUCGCCAGACUACGCAAAGCCAGGAACUCUGCGUACAAACAUCCAAGGCCUGGCUAUAGUUGAUAGCAAAGCUUCUACCUGAUUAUGUAUGUGCAUUCAGCAAAGAGAAUGAAUUUUCAAUUCCUAAUGAGAAGGAUUUGAACUUGGCUGUCACUCAGCAAGUAGACUUUUCAAAAAAGUCUUUAAAGAAGACAUGAAAGAUAAAAAGACGAUGCUAGAAUUGUGUUGUGGUCCGCCUUGGCUUCAGAUUUGUUUUAGAUUUUUGUUAAGGUCGCUUUUUCUAAAAUACUAAAAAGUAUACAGCUUUUAAACUGAGCACACUUGUUUAUCAUCAUUAGAUGAGAAAAUAGGUCAAGAAACAGAACUCUCACAUGCAUUUUGUCAGAAUUAUGGCCCUUCUUGUACUUGAAAAAAAUGAAUUUAAUGAUUAAACCAAAACCAUUUGUUUAGGUGCCAUUAUAUUUUUGGAAAAUUGGAAUUUCUGGUUAAAAGUUUUGUUAAGGUACAUAUUUCCUGAAGAGCUAUAGCUUUGAAACUUUGUAAGCAUGUUUAUCAUCACACGAUUCGCAAGUAGGUCAAGAACCGUAACUCUUGCAUUUUUUCAGAAUAAGGGCCCUUUUAAACUUAAAAAAAAAAAAAAAGUAUUUUUUGUUGUUGUUUUUUUUCUUUGUUUAUUGGCUGAUGAUUUCUUUACUGUGGCUGUCACAUUUCUUUUAUGAUCAUAAAAUGUUAUCAAAUUCUUUUGAAUCUUAUUUUCAUUAAGUGUGUUUUUUUUUUCUUUUUUUGCUAAGGUAUUAAAUAUUGAUUUAGGCUGCAAGUAGAAAAUAAAAUUUAAUUCAUUGUUUGUGAUUACCAUCCUUUAUGGCUCUAUCUCAAGUUCAUGUAUGUGAUUUUGUAACCAUGUAAUUAUGCAAAAUAUCUCUUUGGAUAACUGCUUUUUCUGUUUUUAACAUGAAGGUAAAUGCUUUAAUGCUUUAGGGGACUUUUAAGUUCACUUUUCUUGAAUACUAUGGCUUUUUAUACACUCUUUUUUCGUCGGUAGAGGAGUAAGAAAGCCAAGAACUAACUCUUUUCAUGCAUAUUGCCUAUGUCUGUAAUACUAGUGUUAUUCCACCCUGAUUUCUGAAGCAAAUUCAGGGUGGAAUACUGUUACAGGAUCAAACCCUUUUUUUUUCCAUUGUUACUUUUAUAUUGUUCAUUAUUGUUUUCCACCCUGAAUAAAAUCAGGAUGGAAUUUUUUAUUUGUCUAAUUUUAAUAAUCCAUGUGAGAAUCUGCCCUGAAUAUGAACUGAAUGUAUAUAAGAAAAUAUAAAAUUAGAAUUCUUGUUAAAAAAUACGCCCUGACUUUUAUCUAAAUUCCAUGUUGGUAUGGCUGUAUUACAUGUGGAAUACUUACUUGGUUUGCCACCCAGACUUUUUUCAGGGUGGAAUUUUUUUCAGGCUGAAUUAUUUUCUGCCUAAUUUAAAUACUUCAUGUCAAAUUCUUGCCUGAAUUUGUUCUUUAUUUGUAUUAAAAAUGUUUCAAAAUAGAAUUCUGGCUGUUGUUUUAUAAGAAAGUUCACCCUGAUUUUUUUAUUA
rnacentral:lncRNA from 1 species